rnacentral:rRNA from 1 species
AUUAGAGUUUGAUCCUGGCUCAGAUUGAACGCUGGCGGCAUGCUUUACACAUGCAAGUCGAACGGCAGCGCGGGCUUCGGCCUGGCGGCGAGUGGCGAACGAGUGAGUAAUAUAUCGGAACGUACCCAGAAGUGGGGGAUAACGUAGCGAAAGUUACGCUAAUACCGCAUACGAUCUACGGAUGAAAGCAGGGGAUCGCAAGACCUUGUGCUUUUGGAGCGGCCGAUAUCUGAUUAGCUAGUUAGUGAGGUAAAGGCUCACCAAGGCGACGAUCAGUAGCUGGUCUGAGAGGACGACCAGCCACACUGGAACUGAGACACGGUCCAGACUCCUACGGGAGGCAGCAGUGGGGAAUUUUGGACAAUGGGCGCAAGCCUGAUCCAGCAAUGCCGCGUGAGUGAAGAAGGCCUUCGGGUUGUAAAGCUCUUUUGUCAGGGAAGAAACGGCCGUGGCUAAUAUCCAUGGCUAAUGACGGUACCUGAAGAAUAAGCACCGGCUAACUACGUGCCAGCAGCCGCGGUAAUACGUAGGGUGCAAGCGUUAAUCGGAAUUACUGGGCGUAAAGCGUGCGCAGGCGGUUUUGUAAGUCUGAUGUGAAAUCCCCGGGCUCAACCUGGGAAUUGCAUUGGAGACUGCAAGGCUGGAGUCUGGCAGAGGGGGGUAGAAUUCCACGUGUAGCAGUGAAAUGCGUAGAGAUGUGGAGGAACACCGAUGGCGAAGGCAGCCCCCUGGGUCAAGACUGACGCUCAUGCACGAAAGCGUGGGGAGCAAACAGGAUUAGAUACCCUGGUAGUCCACGCCCUAAACGAUGUCUACUAGUUGUCGGGUUUUAAUUAACUUGGUAACGCAGCUAACGCGUGAAGUUGACC